CUUUGAAGCCGCGACUUGCUCAAGCAAACCAACAACGCUUCAAGGUAGAUGCAUGAUGACCAAAUAUCUUGGCUCAAGAUCUGGAAACCCAUCACCAUAGUGGGGUUUUUGCUAAAUGUAAGUGUGCUCAGUUGGACCUC